rnacentral:lncRNA from 1 species
GCAGGAGAAUCACUUGAACCCAGGAGGCAGAGGUUGCAGUGAGCCGAGAUUGCACCAUUGCACUCCAGCCUAUACAGCAAAGAGUGAAACUCGGUCUCAAAAAAAAAAAAUUUAUCCUCACAACUUCUCUGUGAGGUUGGUAUCACUAUCACCAUCUUAUAACAGGAAAAUGAAGGUUGGAGAGAUAAGGGCAGAAAUGACCUGGGACCAAAAUGCAGCAGAGUCAGAUUCCAUUUGCUAGAAGGAAGCAAAGCCCAGGAUUGUGGUCAUAGCAAUAACAGUUAAAAGACUGAUCAUAAAAUCUAGAGGCCAAUGAAAGCCUCGGAUGGAUCUGAUGUAAUGGGAAAAAAAGGAGAGAUAAAGAUUCUUUGAGUCUUUUAAAGAAUCUUAUGCAUUCAAAUUACUUAUGUCCCAUAUAUUUUUAAAAGGAACAUAUACAAUACGGUUAAUACGGUAGAAAUAGACAUGUGUGAGCCAUCCAGAUUCACCUACUGAUGCCCUCAACCUUCUAAUGUCCCGUCCUGUUCUGUGUAUUGCUUCCGUCCAUCAUAUGACUUUUUUCAGUAGAUGACGAAAGAAUUUUAAGAUAGCCACAGACCAUAGACUCACAGAAUCUGACUUGGUUGCUAGAAGUUUUUGUGGUUGCAUGGAAUGGUAGCAAGGAGAGUCAGAAGAGAGGGAGGGGAUGAGGAAGAGGCAGAGGUCACGCUGAGGUUUUCAGUUGCGGCACAACUGGCGAGAAAUACAAAGAUUCAGAAGGAAGGUUGUUUAAGUUUGAUGUAAUACUGUGGUUCUUAUGGGAAGAAAUUAAACAGGUAAUUGGAGAGGCUGAACUGAAAAAAGAAAGGAGGUGAGUUCUGGCUGGGCGCGGUGGCUCACGCCUGUAAUCCCAGCACUUUGGAAGGCCAAGGUGGGCGGAUCACGAGGUCAGGAGAUGGAGACCAUCCUGGCUAACAUGGUGAAACCCCGUCUCUACUUAAAAAAAAUACAAAAAAUUAGCCGGGCGUGGUGGCGGGAGGCUGAGGCAUGAGAAUGGCGUGAACCGGGAGGCGGAGCUUGCAGUGAGCCGAGAUCGAGCCACUGCACUCCAGCCUGGGCGACAGAGAGAAACUCCGUCUCAAGAGAAAAAAAAAAAAAUGGAGGUGAGUUCUACAGUUUGGAUGACUUAGGAGCUGAAUUUAUGAACAAGGGAAAAAGAAGAGGCAGAGGGCCAAGGUGUCCUUGGCCCUAACAAGAAUUAGGGAUAUAAAAAAGAACAUGAGGCCAGGAACGGUGGCUCAUGCCUGUAAUCCCAGCACUUUG